UCGGCCCCGGUUCACGCUUGCCGCAACCCGCGACGGCGACCCGGAGCC
rfam:Streptomyces venezuelae ATCC 10712 complete genome